rnacentral:rRNA from 1 species
CCUACGGGAGGCAGCAGUGGGGAAUAUUGGACAAUGGGCGAAAGCCUGAUCCAGCAAUGCCGCGUGAGUGAAGAAGGCCUUCGGGUUGUAAAGCUCUUUUACCCGGGAAGAUAAUGACUGUACCGGGAGAAUAAGCCCCGGCUAACUCCGUGCCAGCAGCCGCGGUAAUACGGAGGGGCUAGCGUUGUUCGGAAUUACUGGGCGUAAAGCGUACGUAGGCGGCUUUGUAAGUCAGAGGUGAAAGCCCACGACUCAAUCGUGGAACUGCCUUCGAGACUGCUUCGCUUGAAGAUGGGAGAGGUUAGUGGAAUUCCGAGUGUAGAGGUGAAAUUCGUAGAUAUUCGGAAGAACACCAGUGGNGAG